rnacentral:rRNA from 1 species
GAUGAACGCUGGCGGCGUGCCUAAUACAUGCAAGUCGAGCGACCAGAUGAGGAGCUUGCUCCCCUGACGUUAGCGGCGGACGGGUGAGUAACACGUGGAUAACCUACCUAUAAGACUGGGAUAACUACGGGAAACCGGAGCUAAUACCGGAUAAUAUAUUGAACCGCAUGGUUCAAUAGUGAACGACGGUUUUGCUGUCCCUUAUAGAUGGAUCCGUGCCGCAUUAGCUAGUUGGUAAGGUAACGGCUUACCAAGGCAACGAUGCGUAGCCGACCUGAGAGGGUGAUCGGCCACACUGGAACUGAGACACGGUCCAGACUCCUACGGGAGGCAGCAGUAGGGAAUCUUCCGCAAUGGGCGAAAGCCUGACGGAGCAACGCCGCGUGAGGGAUGAAGGUCUUCGGAUCGUAAAACGCUGUUAUUAGGGAAGAACAACUGUGUAAGUAACUAUGCACGUCUUGACGGUACCGAAUCAGAAAGCCACGGCUAACUACGUG